CCUACGGGGGGCAGCAGUUAGGAAUAUUCCACAAUGGGGGCAACCCUGAUGGAGCAACGCCGCGUGGAGGAUGAAGGCCUUCGGGUUGUAAACUUCUUUUCUCUGUGAAGCGGUAACAGAGGAAUAAGGGUCUGCUAACUACGUGCCAGCAGCCGCGGUCAUACGUAGGACCCAAGCGUUAUCCGGAUUGACUGGGCGUAAAGAGUGCGUAGGUGGUUUGUUAAGCGAAUAGUGAAAUCUUGUGGCUCAACCAUAAGGCUAUUAUUCGAACUGGCAAACUCGAGAAUGGAAGAGGUAUCUGGAAUUUCUAAUGUAGGGGUAAUAUCCGUAGAUAUUAGAAGGAACACCAAUGGCGUAGGCAGGAUACUGGCCUUUCUGACACUGAGGCACGAAAGCGUGGGGAGCGAACCGGAUUAGAUACCCCUGUAGUC
rnacentral:rRNA from 1 species